AUUGCCCUAGUAACGGCGAGUGAAGCGGCAACAGCUCAAAUUUGAAAUCUGGCGUCUUCGGCGUCCGAGUUGUAAUUUGCAGAGGGCGCUUUGGCAUUGGCAGCGGUCCAAGUUCCUUGGAACAGGACGUCACAGAGGGUGAGAAUCCCGUACGUGGUCGCUAGCCUUUACCGUGUAAAGCCCCUUCGACGAGUCGAGUUGUUUGGGAAUGCAGCUCUAAAUGGGAGGUAAAUUUCUUCUAAAGCUAAAUACUGGCCAGAGACCGAUAGCGCACAAGUAGAGUGAUCGAAAGAUGAAAAGCACUUUGGAAAGAGAGUUAAAAAGCACGUGAAAUUGUUGAAAGGGAAGCGCUUGCAGCCAGACUUGCCUGUAGUUGCUCAUCCGGGUUUCUACCCGGUGCACUCUUCUAUGGGCAGGCCAGCAUCAGUUUGGGCGGUUGGAUAAAGGUCUCUGUCAUGUACCUCUCUUCGGGGAGAACUUAUAGGGGAGACGUCAUGCAACCAGCCUGGACUGAGGUCCGCGCAUCUGCUAGGAUGCUGGCGUAAUGGCUGUAAGCGGCCCGUCUUGAAACACGGACCAAGGAGUCUAACAUCUAUGCGAGUGUUUGGGUGUCAAGCCCGAGCGCGUAAUGAAAGUGAACGGAGGUGGGAACCUUUCGGGGUGCACCAUCGACCGAUCCUGAUGUCUUCGGAUGGAUUUGAGUAAGAGCAUAGCUGUUGGGACCCGAAAGAUGGUGAACUAUGCUUGAAUAGGGUGAAGCCAGAGGAAACUCUGGUGGAGGCUCGCAGCGGUUCUGACGUGCAAAUCGAUCGUCAAAUUUGGGCAUAGGGGCGAAAGACUAAUCGAACUAUCUAGUAGCUGGUUCCUGCCGAAGUUUCCCUCAGGAUAGCAGUAACGUUUUCAGUUUUAUGAGGUAAAGCGAAUGAUUAGAGGCCUGGGGGUUGAAACAACCUU
rnacentral:rRNA from 1 species